CCCGGUUCCAAUAUCCAAAAAACGAAUCGUUUUAUAUUACGAUCCGUUACAAUAUCUACGAAUCGUAGGACAAAAUAGUUCCUAUAAAAACGACUCGUUUUUAAAAUUACUGAUGACUUGCUACUAACGGAUGGGAGGGCUAACAUAACGGUUCGUACUGCGUUUUGUAUGGAGACUGUUGUCUGUAGUGUUCCUAUAUUAUUUUAGAAAUGUCAGUGAGCUGUCACAACUACGACGCGUAGAGCAUUUUUUAACCUACCGAUUUUGUUCGGUUGUGCUUUGGAAUUUUUGUGUUUGUGUUUUUUCUUUUAAAAUGUCGAGUUCAGAAAGUGAUAACGAAGUUUUAAUGUUACUGAAUUCAAGCGACGAUUCAAGUGAUGAUACGCGAAGUAAUAGAGUGUAUAAAACAAGAAUCAAUUAUUAUUCAGAGCUCGAUAAUCAGGAGUUUCAACUAAGAUUUCGGCUCGACAAGCAGUCUGUGCAAUUACUGUUAGGUGAAAUUUAUCCUUUUUUAAAGGAAUCAUGGAAUAUCUCCCUUACAUUACAAUUUAUCAGUUUUUUUUGGUAUUUUGGCGCGGUCCGGCCGACAUCUGGCGUUUCCUUUGUCUCUUCAUGGCGUUUUGUUCACUUUACAGUUAAAACUAAAGUAACUGUUUUUAAAUUGUGAAUGUUCAAAUAAAAUUACAUAUGUGAUGAAUUACAAUUAAUUUAUAUUAUUUUAAAAUAUUUAUGUAAAAAUACUAAUAAAAACUUAUGUAUUUUGAAAA